AUUGAACGCUGGCGGCAUGCCUAACACAUGCAAGUCGAACGCGAAAGUCCUUCGGGGCGAGUAGAGUGGCGGACGGGUGAGUAAUACGUGGGAAUCUACCUGGUAGUGGGGGACAACCCGGGGAAACUCGGGCUAAUACCGCAUAUGUCCUACGGGACAAAGGGGGCCUCUGCUUGCAAGCUCUCGCUACCAGAUGAGCCCACGUCCGAUUAGCUAGUUGGUAGGGUAAAGGCCUACCAAGGCGACGAUCGGUAGCUGGUCUGAGAGGAUGGCCAGCCACACUGGGACUGAGACACGGCCCAGACUCCUACGGGAGGCAGCAGUGGGGAAUAUUGGACAAUGGGCGCAAGCCUGAUCCAGCAAUGCCGCGUGUGUGAAGAAGGC
rnacentral:rRNA from 1 species